rnacentral:rRNA from 1 species
GGCGGCGUGCCUAACACAUGCAAGUCGAACGGAGAAUUUUAUUUCGGUAGAAUUCUUAGUGGCGAACGGGUGAGUAACGCGUAGGCAACCUACCCUUUAGACGGGGACAACAUUCCGAAAGGAGUGCUAAUACCGGAUGUGAUCAUCGUGCCGCAUGGCAGGAUGAAGAAAGAUGGCCUCUACAAGUAAGCUAUCGCUAAAGGAUGGGCCUGCGUCUGAUUAGCUAGUUGGUAGUGUAACGGACUACCAAGGCGAUGAUCAGUAGCCGGUCUGAGAGGAUGAACGGCCACAUUGGGACUGAGACACGGCCCAAACUCCUACGGGAGGCAGCAGUGGGGAAUCUUCCGCAAUGGACGAAAGUCUGACGGAGCAACGCCGCGUGAGUGAUGAAGGAUUUCGGUCUGUAAAGCUCUGUUGUUUAUGACGAACGUGCAGUGUGUGAACAAUGCAUUGCAAUGACGGUAGUAAACGAGGAAGCCACGGCUAACUACGUGCCAGCAGCCGCGGUAAUACGUAGGUGGCGAGCGUUGUCCGGAAUUAUUGGGCGUAAAGAGCAUGUAGGCGGCUUAAUAAGUCGAGCGUGAAAAUGCGGGGCUCAACCCCGUAUGGCGCUGGAAACUGUUAGGCUUGAGUGCAGGAGAGGAAAGGGGAAUUCCCAGUGUAGCGGUGAAAUGCGUAGAUAUUGGGAGGAACACCAGUGGCGAAGGCGCCUUUCUGGACUGUGUCUGACGCUGAGAUGCGAAAGCCAGGGUAGCGAACGGGAUUAGAUACCCCGGUAGUCCUGGCCGUAAACGAUGGGUACUAGGUGUAGGAGGUAUCGACCCCUUCUGUGCCGGAGUUAACGCAAUAAGUACCCCGCCUGGGGAGUACGGCCGCAAGGUUGAAACUCAAAGGAAUUGACGGGGGCCCGCACAAGCGGUGGAGUAUGUGGUUUAAUUCGACGCAACGCGAAGAACCUUACCAAGGCUUGACAUUGAUUGAACGCUCUAGAGAUAGAGAUUUCCCUUCGGGGACAAGAAA